CGUAGGUGGCAAGCGAUACUCGGAAUCACUAGGCGUAAAGCGCAGGUAGGCGGUUUGAUAAGUCUGUUGUGAAAGCUCCCGGCUUAACUGGGAGAGGUCAACGGAAACUAUCAGGCUAGAGUGUGGUAGAGGUAGCUGGAAUUCCCGGUGUAGCGGUGAAAUGCGUAGAUAUCGGGAGGAAUACCUAUGGCGAAAGCAGGCUACUGGACCAUCACUGACGCUGAUCUGCGAAAGCUAGGGGAGCAAACAGGAUUAGAUACCCUGGUAGUCCUAGCCCUAAACGAUGCUCAUUAGGUGUGGGAGGUAUCGACCCCUUCCGCGCCGUAGCUAACGCAUUAAAUGAGCCGCCUGGGGAGUACGGCCGCAAGGUUG
rnacentral:rRNA from 1 species